rnacentral:tRNA from 1 species
GGGCGAUUAGCUCAGUUGGUUAGAGCGCCGUGUUCACACCGCGGAGGUCACCUGUUCGAGUCAGGUAUCGCCCA